rnacentral:rRNA from 1 species
UCCAGACUCCUACGGGAGGCAGCAGUGGGGGAUAUUGCACAAUGGGGGGAACCCUGAUGCAGCGACGCCGCGUGGGUGAAGGAGCGUUUCGGCGCGUAAAGCCCUAUCGGCAGGGAAGAAGGAGGACGGUACCUGACUAAGAAGCCCCGGCUAACUACGUGCCAGCAGCCGCGGUAAUACGUAGGGGGCAAGCGUUAUCCGGAUUUACUGGGUGUAAAGGGGGCGCAGACGGCAGCGCAAGCCAGGAGUGAAAGCCCGGGGCCCAACCCCGGGACUGCUCUUGGAACUGCGCGGCUGGAGUGCAGGAGGGGCAGGCGGAAUUCCUGGUGUAGCGGUGAAAUGCGUAGAUAUCAGGAGGAACACCGGUGGCGAAGGCGGCCUGCUGGACUGCGACUGACGUUGAGGCCCGAAAGCGUGGGGAGCAAACAGGAUUAGAUACCCCGGUAGAA